GAUGAACGCUGGCGGCGUGCCUAAUACAGGCAAGUCGAGCGAGGAGACGAGGGGCUUGCUCCUCUGACGUUAGCGGCGUACGGGUGAGUAACACGGGGGUCACCUGCCUAUAAGACUGGGAGAACUUCGGGAAACCGGUGCUAAUACCGGAUAAUAUAUUGAACCUCAUGGUUCAAUAGUGAAAGACGGUUUUGCGGGCACUGAUAGAUGGAUCCCCGCCGCAUUAGCUAGUUGGUAAGGUAACGGCUUACGAAGGCAACGAUGCGUAGCCGACCUGAGAGAGUGCUCGGCCACCCUGGAAGUGAGACAAGGUCCCGACUCCUACGGGAGGAAGCAGUAGGGAAUCUUCCGCAACGGGCGAAAGACUGACGGAGCAACGCCGCGUCAGUGAUGAAGUCCUUCCGAUCGUAAAACUCUGUUAUUCGGGAAGAACAAAUGUGUAAGUAACCAUGCAUGUCUUGCCGGUACCUAAUCAGCAAGCCCCGGCUCACUCCGUG
rnacentral:rRNA from 1 species